ensembl:lncRNA
GGGGGGGGAGGGGAGGGAGGAGGUGAGGGGGGAGGGGGAAGUAGGGAGGGAGGAGGUGAGGGAUGGAGGAGGUGAGGUGGUGAGGGAGGAGGAGAGGGAGGGAGGAGGUGAGGGAGGGAGGAGGUGAGGGAGGAGGGGAGGAGGGGAGGAGAGGGAGGGAGGGAGGGAGGGAGGGAGGAGGGAGAUGGCAAGUUUGACCUCUCAUUGUAAUAUUUUUGCCAAUUGAUAUUGGGUGGGGGAUCUCUAUUUCUGCUGUAGGAUCUGCAAACGUAUGGAUGGAGAGACUGGUAGGGUGAGGGAGUAGAGAUGGAGGAGAGACUGGUAGGGUGAGGGAGUAGAGAGAAAUGGAGAGACUGGUAGAGUGAGGGAGUAGAGAUGGAGUUGAGCAGGGUAGGGAGGGACAGAGAGACUGGUAGAGUGAGGGAGUAGAGAUAGAGGAGAGACUGGUAGGGUGAGGGAGUAAAGAGAAAUGGAGAGACUGGUAGAGUGAGGGAGUAGAGAUGGAGUUGAGCAGGGUAGGGCAGGACAGAGAGACUGGUAGGGUGAGGGAGUAGAGAUGGAGGAGAGCAGGGUAGGGAGGGAUGGAGAGACUGGUAGAGUGAGGGAGUAGGGAGGGAUGGAGAGACUGGUAGGGUGAGGGAGUAGAGAUGGAGGAGAGCAGGGUAGGGAGGGAUGGAGAGACUGGUAGAGUGAGGGAGUAUGGAGGGAUGGAGAGACUGGUAGAGUGAGGGAGUAUGGAGGGAUGGAGAGACUGGUAGAGUGAGGGAGUAGGGAGGGAUGGAGAGACUGGUAGAGUGAGGGAGUAGGGAGGGAUGGAGAGACUGGUAGAGUGAGGGAGUAGGGAGAGAUGGCGAGGGGUAGGUUGUGGGACCAGACAUUGUGACAUAAUAAAGACACUCUUGGAGGGGAGAUGAGAGUUUGAAAGAGAGAGACCGACUGAGAAUUUGAAAGAGAGAGACGGAGAUAAAGAGAUAGAGGGGGGAGAAUGAGAGAGAGAGGGGGGAGAGAGAUAAAUCAAAUCAAAUUGAAUCAAACGGUAUAUGUCACAUGCGACGAAUACAACAGGUGCAGAACUUACCGUUAUAUUUAUAUAAUAUACUUACAAGCACUUCAUCAAGAAAUAUAGUUAAUAAAAUAUUUACUAAAUCAAAUAAAGUUAAAACAAACGAUUCAAUCAAAUGGUAGCACAAUAAAUGUACAUUGUAAAUAGUCAGAUUGGCCAUUCGAUUAGCUUAGUUGUUCAGCAGUCUUAUAGCUUGAUGGUAGAAGCUGUUGAGGAGCGUCUUGGUCCUAGACUUGGUGCUCCGGUACUGCUUGCCGUGCGGUAGCAGAGAGAACAGUCUGUGACUUGUAUGACUGGAGUCUUUCACAGUUUUUGGGCCUUCAUCUGACACCGCCUAGUAUAUAGGUCCAGGAUGUUAGGAAGCUUGGCCCCAGUGAUGUACUGGGCCGUUCGCACUAACCUCUGUACCAGGCGGUAAUACAACCGGUCAGAAUGCUCUCGAUGGUGUUGUCGUGCACUCUUUACAACUGUCGUGGUGUGUUUGGACCAUGAUAAUUUGUUGGUGAUGUGAACACACCACCUGGGGGAGGUGCGUCAUGAAAGUACAGAAUCCAGUUGCAGAGGGAGAUGUUUAGUCCCAGGGUCCUUAGCGUAAUGAUGAGCUUCGUGGGCACUACGGUGUUGAACGCUGAGCUGUAGUCAAUGACCAGCAUUCUCACAUAGGUGUUCCUUUUGUCCAGGUGGGAAAGGGCAGUGUGGAGUGCGAUUAAGAUUGCGUCAUUUGUGGUUCUGUUGGGGCGGUAUGCGAAUUGGAGUGGGUCUAGGGUUUCUGGCAUGAUGGUAUUGAUGUGAGGCAUGACCAGCCUUUCAAAUCACUUCAUGGCUACAUAUGUGAGUGCUACGGGGCGGUAAUCAUUUAGGCAGGUUACCUUCACUAUCUUGGGCACAGGGACUAUGGUGGUCUGUUUGAAACAUGUAGGUAUUACAGACUCGGUCAGGAGAGGUUGAAAUGUCAGUGAAGACAUGCAUUGAGUACACGUCCUGGUAAUCCGUCUGGCCCCGCAGCUUUGUGAAUGUUGACCUGUUUAAAGGUCUUGCUCACAUCGACUAUGGAGAGCGGGAUCACACAGUCGUCCCGAACAGCAAUUAACUCUUCUGGUAGGUUCGCUGGGCAGCUCCCGGCUGGUUUUCCCAUGUAAUCCGUAGUAGUUUUAAAGCCCGGCCACAUCUGACGAGCGUCAGAAACGGUGUAGUAGGAUUUAAACUUAAUCCUGUAUUUACGCUUUGCCUGUUUGAUGGUUUAUCUGAGGCCAUAGCGGGAUUUCUUAUAAGUGUCCGGAUUAGUUUCCUUGAAAGUUGAAGCUCUAGCCUUUACCUCGGGGUGGAUGUUGCCUGCAAUCCAUGGCUUCUGGUUGGGGAAUGUACGUACGGUCACUGUGGGGACGAGGUCGUCGAUGCACUUAUUGAUGAAGCCGGUGACUGAUGUGAUAUACUCCUCAACGCCAUCGGAAGAAUCCCGGAACUUAUUCCAGUCUAUGCUAGCAAAAGGUUCCUGUAGCGUAGCAUUCGCGUCAUCUGACCACUUCCGUAUUGAGCGAGUCACUGGUGUACUACCUGCUUUAGUUUUUGCUUGUAAGCAGGAAUCAGGAGGAUAGAAUUAUGGUCAGAUUUGCCAAAUGGGGGGAGAGGGAGAGCUUUGUAUGCGUCUCUGUGUGUGGAGUAAAGGUGGUCUACAGUUUUUUUAUUUUCUGGUUACACAUGUGACAUGCUGGUAGAAAUGAGGUAAAACUGAUUUAAGUUUGCCUGCAUUAACGUCCCCGGCCACUAGGAGCGCCACUUCUGGAUGAGCAUUUUCUUGUUUGCUUAUGGCCUUAUACAGCUGGUUGAGUGUGGUCUUAGUGCCAGCAUCGGACUGUGGUGGUAUGUAGACAGCUACAAAAAAUACAGAUGAAAACUCUCUAGGUAGAUAGUGUGGUCUACAGCUUAUCAUGAGAUACUCUACCUCAGGCGAGAAAAACCUCUAGACUUCCUUAGAUAUUGUGCACCAGCUGUUGUUUACAAACAUACAAAGGCCGCAACCCUGUGUCUUACCAGAGGUUGCUGAUGUAGUGUAUAACCCACUGCCAGCUGUAUGUUCUUAAUGUCGAUGUUACAGUUUUUAAUGUCCCGUCGGUAGGAUAGUCUUUCUCGUAGAUUGUCCAGUUUGAUAUCCAAUGAUUGAACAUUGUCAAAUAAUAUGGAGGGUAGUGGUGGUUUACUCACUCGCCAAACAAUUCUCACAAGGCACCCAGACCUCGGCCCAGAGCUCAGAGAGAGAGAGAGAGAGAUGAGAGAUGAGAGAGAAAGAUGAGAGAUGAGAGAGAGAGAGAGAUAGAGAGAGGGAGAGAGAGAAACACACAGAGAGAGAGAGAGAGAGAGAGAGAGAAACAUAGAGAGAUAUAUACCUUAAUCCCCCAGCUGUCAGGGAGUUAAUAGAGCGUUCACCGGGUCAGAUACGACAUACUGAUCAAAUCAGAGUGUGUGGGCUUGCUUGCCUCCAUCCGUGUAUGAGCUCAAAGUCUAAACAAAAAAUGACAGUUGCCACUCGUUUACCAAAACUGUCCACAAAAAAGACAGCUGUGGUGCAGAAUGAACCUUCUGAGAAUAUAUUAGGCUUUUAAGUCCCCCUUUAUCUUCACAUUCUGCUUUUUAAACCCCUUUCUUAGACAUUCUGACAUUAUAAUGGUGAUGAUAGUAAUGGUGAUGAUAGGGGAGGAUAGUAAUGGUCUCUUAUGGGGGAGGAUAGUAAUGGUCUCUUAUGGAGCAGGAUAGUAAUGGUCUCUUAUGGAGGAGGAUAGUAAUGGUCUCUUUUGGGGGAGGAUAGUAAUGGUCUCUAAUGGGGGAGGAUAGUAAUGGUCUCUAAAGGGGGAGGAUAGUAAUGGUCUCUUAUAGGGGAGGAUAGUAAUGGUCUCUUAUAGGGGAGGAUAGUAAUGGUCUCUUAUGGAGGAGGAUAGUAAUGGUCUCUUAUGGGGAGGAUAGUAAUGGUCUCUUAAUAGGGAAGGAUAGUAAUGGUCUCUUAUGGGGAGGAUAGUAAUGGUCUCUUAGGGAGGAGGAUAGUAAUGGUCUCUUAUGGAGGAGGAUAGUAUCUCUUAUGGGGGAGGAUAGUAAUGGUCUCUAAUGGGGAGGAUAGUAAUGGUCUCUUAUGGGGAGGAUAGUAAUGGUCUCUUAUAGGGGAGGAUAGUAAUGGCAGGGAUAGUAAUGGUGAUGAUAGUAAUGGUGAUGAUAGGGGAGGAUAGUAAUGGUGAUGAUGUAAUGGUCUCUUAUGGGGAGGAUAGUAAUGGUCUCUAAUGGGGAGGAUAGUAAUGGUCUCUUAUAGGGAAGGAUAGUAAUGGUCUCUUAUGGGGGAGGAUAGUAAUGGUCUCUAAUGGGGAGGAUAGUAAUGGUCUCUAAUGGGGGAGGAUAGUAAUGGUCUCUUAUGGGGGAGGAUAGUAAUGGAUAGUAAUGGGGAGGAUAGUAAUGGUCUCUUAUAGGGGAGGAUAGUAAUGGUCUCUUAUAGGGAAGGAUAGUAAUGGUUUCUUAUGGAGGAGGAUAGUAAUGGUGAGGAUAGUAAUGGUCUCUUAUAGGGAGGAUAGUAAUGGUCUCUUAUAGGGAGGAUAGUAAUGGUCUCUAAUGGGGAGGAUAGUAAUGGUCUCUUAUGGGGAGGAUAGUAAUGGUCUCUAAUGGGGAGGAUAGUAAUGGUCUCUUAUAGGGGAGGAUAGUAAUGGUCUCUUAUGGGGAGGAUAGUAAUGGUCUCUAAUGGGGGAGGAUAGUAAUGGUCUCUUAUAGGGAAGGAUAGUAAUGGUUUCUUAUGGAGGAGGAUAGUAAUGGUCUCUUAUGGGGGAGGAUAGUAAUGGUCUCUAAUGGGGGAGGAUAGUAAUGGUCUCUUAUAGGGAAGGAUAGUAAUGGUUUCUUAUGGAGGAGGAUAGUAAUGGUCUCUUAUGGGGGAGGAUAGUAAUGGUCUCUAAUGGGGGAGGAUAGUAAUGGUCUCUAAUGGGGAGGAUGGUAAUGGUCUCUUAUAGGGGAGGAUAGUAAUAGUCUCUUAUGGGGGAGGAUAGUAAUGGUCUCUUAUGGGGGAGGAUAGUAAUGGCAGGGAUAGUAAUGGUGAUGAUAGUUAUCGUCUCUUAUAGGGGAGGAUAGUAAUGGUCUCUUAUAGGGGAGGAUAGUAAUGGUCUGUUAUGGGGGAGGAUAGUAAUGGUCUCUAAUGGGGGAGGAUAGUAAUGGUCUCUUAUAGGGAAGGAUAGUAAUGGUUUCUUAUGGAGGAGGAUAGUAAUGGUGAGGAUAGUAAUGCUGAUGAUAGGGGAGGAUAGUAAUGGUCUCUUAUGGGGGAGGAUAGUAAUGGUCUCUUAUGGAGGAGGAUAGUAAUGGUGAGGAUAGUAAUGGUCCCUUAUAGGGGAGGAUAGUAAUGGUAUCUUAUGGAGGAGGAUAGUAAUGGUCUCUUUUGGAGGAGGAUAGUAAUGGUCUCUUAUAGGGGAGGAUAGUAAUGGUCUCUUACAGGGGGGGAUAGUAAUGGUCUCUUAUGGAGGAGGAUAGUAAUGGUGAGGAUAGGAAUGGUCUCUUAUAGGGAAGGAUAGUAAUGGGGAGGAUAGUAAUGGUCUCUUAUAGGGGAGGAUAGAAAUGGUCUCUGAUGGGGGAGGAUAGUAAUGGUGAUGAUAGUAAUGGUCUCUGAUGGGGGAGGAUAUUAAUGGUCUCUUAUAGGGGAGGAUAGUAAUGGUCUCUUAUAGGGGAGGAUAGUAAUGGCCUCUUAUAGGGGAGGAUAGUAAUGGUCUCUAAUGGGGGAGGAUAGUAAUGGUGAUGAUAGUAAUGGUCUCUGAUGGGGGAGGAUAGUAAUGGUCUCUUAUAGGGGAGGAUAGUAAUGGUCUCUUAUAGGGGAGGAUAGUAAUGGCCUCUUAUAGGGGAGGAUAGUAAUGGUGAUGAUGUAAUGGUCUCUUCACCUUUUAAAGAUUAUCCCUGUCCAUUUGUCUCUGUCUUUAAAUGCCACCAUAAAGGUUAAAUGAACAGGGGAACGAAACAAACAUUUGGCCAUCAGCUGACUUCAGUUUAUGUUAUGGUUGUUAUUCAUGGCACAAGUUGCAGGUAGCUACGAUACUCAUCCUCCAAAUGACUGUGAAGGUUUGAGUUGCAGGAAGAAACCUUUAAACAAAACGUUUAAAAUCACCAGACUUUAAAAUGAAGUCAAUGUUGUGAUUGGUGGGAAGUUGUAUAGUUAAAAUCGUCACAUAAGGAUUUAAUGCUUUAAGGCUGUUUAGUCUUGCUUCACACAAAACAUUCCGUACUUGAAACAUCUGAUGAUCAGUCAGAACAAUAGAGCCAAUAAUAGAGCCAGUAUGGUGCCAUAGUUUCUUGUAGCUCAAUGAUAAUUACUGGCUGUUUGAAGAAACUGAUAUCUGGUGUAUCUGCUAAAGGGCAAAGCCUCAAUAUUUCUCUUAUUUUCCCUGAAAAGCCUGAAAAAGCCAUCCUCCCUCUUUCCUCUCAUCUUCCUCUUCCUUCCUCAUCCUCCUCUUCCUCGUGCUCUUCAAAUGUCAGGCAGAAAGAGGGAUGUGACAGGUGGUUGAGGAGAGGGAGAUUGUUGAACUCCUCUCUGAUCAAAAAUCAAUCGAGAAAAGAGAAAGAGGUGUGUGUGU